rnacentral:lncRNA from 12 species
GCUCCCCGCGGGGGCACGGACGCGGGCAGAGCUGGGCACGGCAGGGUGUAGCUCGGGGCUGGUGGCCCGGCGCGCGAGCUCACGACAGCGCCCCGGGCAGCAAGCGCCGCCGCUGCGCUCCAGUCCGACGCCGCCCCCGUCCUCCCCUCUGCUCUCGCCGCCGCCGCCGCCGCCACCGCCGCCGCCGCCGCCUUCCUCCGCCGCCUCCGCCUCCUCCGCCGCCGCCUCCUCCUCCGCCGCCGCCGCCGCCGCCUUCCCCGCCGCCGCCCCGGCCAGCGCCGCGCGCGAGAGGACAGCCCGGGCUCCCGAGCGGACCUUCAGCGGCGCCCGCCCGCCCACGGGUAUAUGCCCUUUCCUUUCGCAUCGGAGCCCCCAAUGUUUGUUCUCCCGACAACCUUAGACAUUCUGCAGCCAGGGAGGGCCUCUGUACCCAACAGGCGGAGGGCUCAGUCUGUGAAUAUCCUGUAAGUGUCGGGAAUGCACACCUGGUACCUCUCCGCUGGUAUCCACAGCUUAACGAAGUAAAUAGAAGAUGUCAAGGAGGAAUACGACAUCAACACAGGAUGACCUUCUUGCGUGAGGAGCCACCCUACAGAGGGAGGGAAUGAAGGGAACCCACACCUGUGACUGUGAGAGACAGGAGACCUCCUGAGGCCUGUGACACAAGAUGAUAUUGGUGGCCCAAUCCACAGUUCACUGCGACCUGCACACCUCGAAGCUUUGUUGGAUUCUUCAGAUGCUGAUUGCAUUGCAGAUGAAGCUUCAGAUCCUCGUCCUCUCCUUAAACAUGCUCUAGCAUUUUUGUCAUCGCUUGCAUUUUACUUUCACGUGGCAAACACUUUGUACAGCUUACUGAGAAGUAGGAACACCCCACGGGGCCGGCCACGCAGGGCACCCCUCUGGUCCCCCUCAGAGAGAUCCUGUGAGGAGAGUACUCUGCAGGUGGCCUCUGGCUCCCACAACUUCAGAUCUGUUCUGGUGUUCACAUCAGGGCCGCAUUCUGCCCAGAACGCCCUCUCCAAAGUAAAAAGCAACCAGCUGCGUCUUGUGGGAUCUACUACAAAAAAGGUAGCCCUCUUGUGUCCCGGAAGCAACACAGAUCAUACUUAGAAAGUGCUGCAGCCUAUGUGAUAAGUGACAUGGAUGGAAGAAGCUACCAGCACUGAGAGGGCUCAGAGCAGGGAAGAGUUUUGCAGGAAGCCCCGGCUGUGCUGCAAACACUCUGCUUCUUGGACCAUACAAUCAAGCAGAUCCUUUGUUGUGGGUGUUUGGUGUCAGAGGUGAGAAAAGGUACAAUAGGGAGAUGAUGGCAAGCCCCAGCGGAAGAAUCACAAUGCAGGUCUAUGGGGGAUCUGAAGCAAGGCUGUAUUCUCUGCAAAAGGGAACUGUCUCUUUUUUGAGAAUCAGUGCUUGGUAAGCUGCCUGACCUUGGUAGAAAAGGAAUGCUUGACCAUAGGACACCAAGUGACCAGCCAUCUAGAAUUUCCCAUUAUAAGCUCAGUCUUGUUGAACCUGCCAAGACAAAUUCAAAAGGACCCAAAGCAGUGUACUGUAGGUUGGACACGGCAUAUCCAGAAUCAGUCUGAGUGGGAACAGAGGGCAUGAGUAAGCUACCAGAACUGGUUGCCCAGUCCCUCAUGUUCCCUGGUGUUGCACUAAGCACCUCUUCC